CUAGUAAACAGACUUUGUGAGGGAUUUAUUUGAUUUUUGAUCUACACUGAACUAAUGGAACUGAUUGAUUUCUGGUUCUAGUGUUGAUUCUUAACGAGGUUGACAACCUUUCUAGAGAAGCCCAACAUUCUCUUCGAAGAACAAUGGAGAAAUAUAGUGCAUCUGGUAGGAUGAUUUUGUGUUGCAGCAGUUCUUCAAAGGUUACUGAGGCAAUACGUUCUCAAUGCUUGAGUGUGCGAAUCAAUGCACCAACAGAGGAACAGAUUGUUGUUUGAGUACUGGAAUUCAUUGGCAAAAAAGAAGGUUUGCAACUUCCAUCUGAUUUUGCUUCCUGUAUAGCAGAGAAGUCAAAUUGGAGUUUAAGGAGGGGUAUUCUGACAUUUUAGACAUGCCGGGUGCAACAGUACCCUUUUACAUGUAACCAAACCAUCCCACCGAUGGACUGAGAGGAGAAUGUUUCCGAAAUAGCUUCAAAUAUAAUGAAGGAGCAGAGCCCUAAAAGGAACAUAGGAUGCGA